rnacentral:rRNA from 1 species
GGGCUUUUGUGUGCUAUAUCCAGGUUGUCAGUAGGCUCCUCGAUUACCCAAUCCCUACACGGGGAGCUAUUGACAAUAAAUACUGAUACUUGGCUCUUUUGGGUCUUGUGAUCGGAAUGAGUACAAUUUAAAUCCCUUAACGAGUUCAAUUGGAGGGCAAGUCUGGUGCCAGCAGCCGCGGUAAUUCCUGCUCCAAUAGCGUAUAUAAAAGUUGUUGUGGUUAAAAAGCACCCUAUUGAACCUUGGGCCUGGCUGGCCGGUCCGCCUCACCGCGUGCACUGGUCCGGCCGGGCCUUUCCCUCUGCGGAACCCCAUGCUAUUCACUGGGUGUGGCGGGGAAACAGGACUUUUACUUUGAAAAAAUUAGAGUGCUCAAGGCAGGCCUAUGCUCGAAUACAUUAGCAUGGAAUAAUAGAAUAGGACGUGUGGUUCUAUUUUGUUGGUUUCUAGGACCGCCGUAAUGAUUAAUAGGGACAGUCGGGGGCAUCAGUAUUCAAUUGUCAGAGGUGAAAUUCUUGGAUUUAUUGAAGACUAACUACUGCGAAAGAUUUUGCCAAAA